rnacentral:rRNA from 1 species
UACAGAGGAUGCAAGCGUUAUCCGGAAUGAUUGGGCGUAAAGCGUCUGUAGGUGGCUUUUUAAGUCCGCCGUCAAAUCCCAGGGCUCAACUCUGGACAGGCGGUGGAAACUACCAAGCUUGAGUACGGUGAGGGCAGAGGAAUUUCCGGUGGAGCGGUGAAAGUGACGUAGAGAUCGGAAAGAACACCAACGGCGAAAGCACUCUGCUGGCCGACACUGACACUGAGAGACGAAAGCUAGGGGAGCGAAUGGG